rnacentral:rRNA from 1 species
AGUGAACGCUGGCGGUAGGCCUAACACAUGCAAGUCGAACGGCAGCACAGUAAGAGCUUGCUCUUACGGGUGGCGAGUGGCGGACGGGUGAGGAAUACAUCGGAAUCUACUUUUUCGUGGGGGAUAACGUAGGGAAACUUACGCUAAUACCGCAUACGACCUACGGGUGAAAGCAGGGGAUCUUCGGACCUUGCGCGAUUGAAUGAGCCGAUGUCGGAUUAGCUAGUUGGCGGGGUAAAGGCCCACCAAGGCGACGAUCCGUAGCUGGUCUGAGAGGAUGAUCGGCCACACUGGAACUGAGACACGGUCCAGACUCCUACGGGAGGCAGCAGUGGGGAAUAUUGGGCAAUGGGCGCAAGCCUGAUCCAGCCAUACCGCGUGGGUGAAGAAGGCCUUCGGGUUGUAAAGCCCUUUUGUUGGGAAAGAAAAGCAGCAGGUUAAUACCCCGCUGUUCUGACGGUACCCAAAGAAUAAGCACCGGCUAACUUCGUG